rnacentral:tRNA from 1 species
GGCCCCGUAGCUCAAUGGAUAGAGCACCGGACUUCUAAUCCGACGGCUGCAGGUUCGAGUCCUGCCGGGGUCGCCA